rnacentral:rRNA from 1 species
CCUACGGGGGCUGCAGUGGGGAAUAUUGGACAAUGGGCGAAAGCCUGAUCCAGCCAUGCCGCGUGUGUGAAGAAGGCCUUCGGGUUGUAAAGCACUUUCAGUGGGGAAGAAAGCCUUGGGGCUAAUACCCUCGAGGAAGGACAUCACCCACAGAAGAAGCACCGGCUAACUCCGUGCCAGCAGCCGCGGUAAUACGGAGGGUGCGAGCGUUAAUCGGAAUUACUGGGCGUAAAGCGCGCGUAGGCGGUCUGAUAAGCCGGUUGUGAAAGCCCCGGGCUCAACCUGGGAACGGCAUCCGGAACUGUCAGGCUAGAGUGCAGGAGAGGAAGGUAGAAUUCCCGGUGUAGCAGUGAAAUGCGUAGAGAUUGGGAGGAAUACCAGUGGCGAAGGCGGCCUUCUGGACUGACACUGACGCUGAGGUGCGAAAGCGUGGGUAGCAAACAGGAUUAGAUACCCGGGUAGUC